AAAUAGGAAAUAGAUUUAAUACUUAAUACUUACAAACUCAAAUGUGCUCCAGUUGCGCUCGCAACUAGAAGAAGAGCAACAAAGGCCUAGUAUGCGUCGUGCAAGCUUUGAAAGCUCAAAAGCACGACCUCCAUUUGUACUCCACCAAGUAACUAUAAAAAUAUAAUAAAAAAACUGAAUUAAUAGUAAUACAUCAUAGA